GGUAGUGUGGCCGAAUGGUCUAAGAUGCUGGAUUACGGUUUCAGUUUCUUUGGAGGCGUGGGUUCAAAUCCCACUAUUGCCA